GUGCUCGCUUCAGCUGCACAUAUAUUAAAAUUGUAACAAUACAGAGAAGAUUAGGAUGGCCCCGUGCAAGGAUGACAUGCCAAUUCGUGACAUUUCAUAUUUUUUC
ensembl:snRNA U6 U6 spliceosomal RNA